UAGCCUCUGGCUAUAGGAAAUUGUUAGUGGCAGACGGGUGAGUAAUGCGUAGGAAUCUACCUAGUAGUACGGAAUAGCCAUUAGAAAUGGUGGGUAAUACUGUAUAAUCCCCGAGGGGGAAAGAUUUAUCGCUAUUAGAUGAGCCUACGUUAGAUUAGCUAGUUGGUGAGGUAAUGGCUUACCAAGGCUAUGAUCUAUAGCUGGUCUGAGAGGACGAUCAGCCACACUGGAACUGAGAUACGGUCCAGACUCCUACGGGAGGCAGCAGUGGGGAAUAUUGGACAAUGGGCGAAAGCCUGAUCCAGCUAUGCCGCGUGAGUGAAGAAGGCCUUCGGGUUGUAAAACUCUUUCAAUAGGGAAGAUAAUGACGGUA
rnacentral:rRNA from 1 species